rnacentral:rRNA from 1 species
CGGCAGACGGGUGAGUAACGCGUGGGAACAUACCUCUUGGUUCGGAACAACACAGGGAAACUUGUGCUAAUACCGGAUAAGCCCUUACGGGGAAGGAUUUAUCGCCGAGAGAUUGGCCCGCGUCUGAUUAGCUAGUUGGUGAGGUAACGGCUCACCAAGGCGACGAUCAGUAGCUGGUCUGAGAGGAUGAUCAGCCACAUUGGGACUGAGACACGGCCCAA